AUGGCCUCCACCAACAGCUGGACCCACGAGAUCGAGUCGUCGGUCGCGGCACCGCGCCUGUUCCGUGCCGGCGUCAUGGACUGGCACACUCUGGCACCCAAGCUCGCGCCCCACAUCGUCGCCAGCGCCCACCCCGUGGAGGGCGAAGGCGGCAUCGGCAGCGUCAGGCAGUUCAACUUCACCUCAGUCAUGCCCUUUACCCUCAUGAAGGAGAGGCUUGAGUUCCUGGACACAGACAAGUGUGAGUGCAAGUCGACCCUCGUCGAGGGCGGCGGCAUCGACACGGCGAUCGAGACUGCGACGUCGCACAUCAAGGUGGAGCCGGCGGCCAACGGAGGGUGCUUCGUGAAGGUGGACUCGACGUACAAGCUGCUGCCAGGCGUGGAGGUGAAUGACGAAAUCACCAAGGCCAAGGAAUCCGUCACCGCCAUCUUUAAAGCCGCCGAUGCCUACCUCAUCGCCAACCCUGACGCCUACAACUGA
rnacentral:rRNA from 1 species